rnacentral:rRNA from 1 species
GCUUAACGCGAAGAACCUUACCACCUUUUGACAUGCCCGGACCACCAGAGAGAUCUGGCUUUCCCUUAGGGGACUGGGACACAGGUGCUGCAUGGCUGUCGUCAGCUCGUGUCGUGAGAUGUUGGGUUAAGUCCCGCAACGAGCGCAACCCACGCCAUUAGUUGCCAUCAUUUAGUUGGGCACUCUAAUGGGACCGCCGGUGGUAAGCCGGAGGAAGGUGUGGAUGACGUCAAGUCCUCAUGGCCCUUACAGGGUGGGCUACACACGUGCUACAAUGGCGACUACAGAGGGUUGCAAGCCAGCGAUGGUGAGCCAAUCCCAAAAAGUCGUCUCAGUUCGGAUUGCACUCUGCAACUCGAGUGCAUGAAGUCGGAAUCGCUAGUAAUCGCGGAUCAGCAUGCCGCGGUGAAUACGUUCCCG